UAAGAUAGCGCAAGCAGUUAGAUCAGCGCACUCAGCCAACACCCGCUACAUGGGAAGGUCGAAGUUCCAUUCCGCCGUUACCAUCGCAACGAAGCAGUAACACCACCAAGAUGGUCCUCUCAGAUAACAACUCAGCCAACAAUCUUGUGGAAAGCUAUAGUGUUGUAAGUGAAAUCGCUCGCAACGUAGCUGAGGCCAGGAAGAAGACUCUCGACCUAGACAUCCCCUCUAUCUCUGUUUCCCAUGGCAAACUUUCAAGCCUCAAGCCCAAGGUGCGAAAGUUUGUAGAAGAGGGUGUUCGGCUGUGCUUGCCAGACAAAGUUCACGUGUGCGAUGGAAGUGAACGUGAGCUGCGUGACCUGCUGAACGUGAUGCAGCAGGCAGGCAUGAUCGAGCCACUCCCCAAAUACACCAACUGCUGGCUGGCCCGCACUGACCCAGGGGACGUGGCCCGCGUGGAAAGCAAGACCUUCAUCGUGACAAAGGAACGUCGAGAGACCAUUCCCACGGCUAAGGAGGGCGUCAAGGGACUCUUGGGCAACUGGAUGUCACCAGAGGAGCUGAAGAAGGCCGUCAAAGAACGUUUCCCAGGAUGCAUGAAGGGAAGGACCAUGUAUGUGGUUCCCUUCUCCAUGGGUCCUGUGGGAUCCCCUCUCUCCAAGAUCGGCAUCCAGUUAACAGACUCCCCUUACGUUGUGGCUUCUAUGCGCACCAUGACCAGGAUGGGCAAGGCCGUGCUGGACACGCUCGCUGAGCAAGACUUCGUCAAGUGCCUCCACUCAGUAGGAUGCCCACUUCCCCUCAAGAGGACUUUGGUCAACAACUGGCCGUGUGACCCUGAGAGAACCAUCGUGACACACGUGCCAGAAACCAACGAGAUCAUCUCCUUCGGGUCGGGAUAUGGCGGAAACUCCCUCUUGGGCAAGAAGUGCUUCGCCCUUCGCAUUGGCUCCACCAUCGCCCGUCGCGAAGGCUGGCUAGCCGAACACAUGCUCAUCCUGGGCAUCACGAACCCACAGGGAGUCAAGAAAUACAUUGCGGCUGCCUUCCCCUCCGCCUGCGGCAAGACCAACCUGGCCAUGAUGACCCCAUCCCUUCCAGGCUACAAAGUGGAGUGUGUGGGCGACGACAUCGCUUGGAUGAAGUUCGACGAGGACGGCAUCUUGCGUGCCAUCAACCCUGAGAACGGAUUCUUCGGCGUGGCCCCGGGACCUCCAUGCACACCAACCCUGUGGCCAUGAAAACCGUCCUGUCCAACACCAUCUUCACCAAUGUUGCCAAGACCAGUGAUGGAGGAGUGUUUUGGGAAGGACUGGAGAAGGAAACGGCUAAUGAUGUCACCAUCACCUCGUGGCUUGGAGACACCAACUGGAGCAAAGAAUCAGGCAAACCAGCUGCUCAUCCCAACUCUCGUUUCUGUACACCAGCUGGCCAGUGCCCCAUCAUCGACCCAGCGUGGGAGGACCCCAAGGGCGUUCCCAUCUCGGCCAUUCUCUUUGGAGGAAGACGUCCCGAAGGAGUUCCUCUCAUCUACGAGGCCUUCAACUGGAAACACGGCGUGCUGGUAGGAGGAGCCAUGAGAUCUGAGGCAACUGCCGCCGCCGAGCACAAGGCAAAGGUGAUUAUGCACGACCCUUUCGCCAUGCGACCCUUCUUUGGCUACAACUUCGGCCACUACUUGCAGCACUGGCUCAGCAUGGAGACCCGCACUCACAGAGCUCUUCCCAAGAUCUUCCACGUCAACUGGUUCCGUAAGGACGAGAAGGGACGCUUCAUUUGGCCUGGUUUCGGCGAGAACGUUCGCGUCCUGGACUGGAUCCUUCGACGCGUCGACGGGGAGGACGUGGCGGAGGAGAGCGCCGUCGGCCUGCUUCCAAAACCUUCAUCCCUCAAUAUGGCGGGCUUGGAGGACCAGGACAUCGACAUGCAUGAGCUCUUUAGGCUCCCGAAAGGUUUCUGGCAACAAGAGACGCAAGCCAUCGCCAAGUACUUCGAAGAGCAAGUAGGAGACGACCUUCCCAAUGAAAUUCGAGAAGAACUCAAGAAGCUAGACAAACGUGUAGAAAAAAUGUAAGGUGUAAAUACAAAUCUCAUAAUUAUAUAAAAACAAUGGCAAAACAAGGCAUGCUGGGCCUUAGAUCAUCGUCUGUUUUAUUUUUAUUUUUUUCAUUUCUUAUUUAUUUCAUUAAUUUUUUUUUUCGAGGAGGGAGUUGGAUCAGUGUCUUCAUAUAUCUUUUCUGCUGCAUCAUGUCAUAUUAUAUUGCAGGUUUUACUGCAUUACUAUGUACUACAAUGUGCAAAAGUAAAGCUAAUCCUUUUAUA